rnacentral:rRNA from 1 species
CGCGUAGGCGGUUAAAUAAGUCGGAUGUGAAAGCCCCGGGCUCAACCUGGGAACUGCAUUUGAAACUGUUUAGCUAGAGUGUGGUAGAGGAGAGUGGAAUUUCAGGUGUAGCGGUGAAAUGCGUAGAUAUCUGAAGGAACAUCAGUGGCGAAGGCGGCUCUCUGGACCAACACUGACGCUGAGGUGCGAAAGCGUGGGUAGCAAACG